UUUGGCACUAGCACAUACUUGCUUCCUGCAGCGAGUGUCAAAUAUGUGUCGUGCCAAGUG
rnacentral:pre_miRNA from 1 species